AGUUCCCUGAAUGUUUGAAUGCGUCAGAGAGGUGGGUCUGCACCUCCCAAAAUUCACCACCAGCUCUUUUGUUUUUCCCUGCAUUUAGCAUGAGGCUGUUCUGCUGGCACCAGUCCACAAAGCUCUGGAUCCACUGUCUGUACUGUGACUCAUCUUCAUCUGUGAUGAGACCUUAUGGCAGAGUCAUCUGAGAACUUCUGUAGAUGACAGCCUGGAUUCUCGAGAUGGGCAGCAGGUCGAUGACGGUAUCAUCCACCCCGAUGCCAGGCUGGUAGGCAAACUGCAGGGGAUCCAAUGAAGACCUAACCAGGGGGCAAAGAUGGAUGAGGAUCAGCCUCUCGAGGGUCUUUAUCAGGUUUGUUGGGGAACAUUAGAGAACAACCAGCAUUAUGAAGACCAAGGAACCCAGCAGACAGGUCAGGGAGAAAGUUUUCUAGUUGUUUUUUCCCAGAGCAUUAAAGCCAGACUUAACUGUGACAUCACUGCAUCAAUUGAUUGGAUUUUGGUUUCUGAUUUAUUGUCUAUUUAGAUAUUUUACUUAUUCUUUUCAUUUUAGUUAGUAGUUUAGUUGAAUGUUGUUAGCUUAGUGAAAGAGUUUGUUGACUAAAGUAUUUUAACUUGAAGUUUAAGUACUGUUAAAGGGGCUCUGGAAACAAAUGUAUUUUUUCUGAGGUUUUGGGGUAUAAUAUGAUCUGUUGUGCCUUGAUGAGGCCGUGUGAAUGUCAAAAUU